rnacentral:rRNA from 1 species
UACAGAGGGGGCAAGCGUUGUUCGGAAUUACUGGGCGUAAAGGGCGCGUAGGCGGCCUUCUAAGUCGAACGUGAAAUCCCCGGGCUCAACCCGGGAACUGCGUCCGAUACUGGAUGGCUUGAGUUCGGGAGAGGGAUGCGGAAUUCCACGUGUAGCAGUGAAAUGCGUAGAGAUGUGGAGGAACACCGAUGGCGAAGGCAGCCCCCUGGGUUAACACUGACGCUCAGGCACGAAAGCGUGGGGAGCAAACAGG